ACCGGCGCACGGGUGCGUAACGCGUAUGCAAUCUACCUUUUACAGAGGGAUAGCCCAGAGAAAUUUGGAUUAAUACCUCAUAGUAUAGAUUAACCGCAUGGUUGGCCUAUUAAAGUCACAACGGUAAAAGAUGAGCAUGCGUCCCAUUAGCUAGUUGGUAAGGUAACGGCUUACCAAGGCGACGAUGGGUAGGGGUCCUGAGAGGGAGAUCCCCCACACUGGUACUGAGACACGGACCAGACUCCUACGGGAGGCAGCAGUGAGGAAUAUUGGACAAUGGGCGCAAGUCUGAUCCAGCCAUGCCGCGUGCAGGAUGACGGUCCUAUGGAUUGUAAACUGCUUUUGCACAGGAAGAAACAACUCUACGUGUAGAGUCUUGACGGUACUGUGAGAAUAAGGAUCGGCUAACUCCGUGCCAGCAGCCGCGGUAAUACGGAGGAUCCAAGCGUUAUCCGGAAUCAUUGGGUUCAAAGGGUCCGUAGGCGGUUUAGUAAGUCAGUGGUGAAAGCCCAUCGCUCAACGGUGGAACGGCCAUUGAUACUGCUAGACUUGAAUUAUUAGGAAGUAACUAGAAUAUGUAGUGUAGCGGUGAAAUGCUUAGAGAUUACAUGGAAUACCAAUUGCGAAGGCAGGUUACUACUAAUGGAUUGACGCUGAUGGACGAAAGCGUGGGUAGCGAACAGGAUUAGAUACCCUGGUAGUCCACGCCGUAAACGAUGGAUACUAGCUGUUGGGAGCAAUCUCAGUGGCUAAGCGAAAGUGAUAAGUAUCCCACCUGGGGAGUACAUUCGCAAGAAUGAAACUCAA
rnacentral:rRNA from 1 species